GGGCGGUUAGCUCAGUGGUAGAGCACAGCAUUCACAUUGCUGGGGUCACAGGUUCAAGCCCUGUACCGCCCA
rnacentral:tRNA from 1 species